GGAUAGCUCAGUGGUAGAGUGUGUGUUUAGCAUGCAUGAGGUCCUGGGUUUAAUCCCCAGUAUAUCCA
rnacentral:tRNA from 1 species